GGGGAAUAUUGCACAAUGGGCGAAAGCCUGAUGCAGCGACGCCGCGUGAGGGAUGACGGCCUUCGGGUUGUAAACCUCUUUCAGCAGGGAAGAACCAGUACGUCAGGCAAUGGACGUACCUUGACGGUACCUUAUUAGAAAGCCACGGCUAACUACGUGCCAGCAGCCGCGGUAAUACGUAGGGCGCAAGCGUUGUCCGGAAUUAUUGGGCGUAAAGAGCUCGUAGGCGGUUAGUCGCGUCUGCUGUGAAAACUCGAGGCUCAACCUCGGGCUUGCAGUGGGUACGGGCUGACUAGAGUGCGGUAGGGGUGACUGGAAUUCCUGGUGUAGCGGUGGAAUGCGCAGAUAUCAGGAGGAACACCGAUGGCGAAGGCAGGUCACUGGGCCGCAACUGACGCUGAGGAGCGAAAGCAUGGGGAGCGAACA
rnacentral:rRNA from 1 species